GUAAGUGCUGGAGACCUCAGGAUUUUAUUGUAGGGCACAUGGACUUUGUAUGAGAAUGUCAAAAACUCAUUUUGUCUUUAGCACAGGAAGAUGCUUGGCAAAGAGUUAAUGACACUAAAGAAUUCUUACAAAUGUUAUGGAUGGGUGUUAAUUUUCACAGAUAGGCAUUCAUUGUCAGAUGUUUAUGCUCUCCAUUCCUGAAACUCCUCCUGUCUGUGGAUCCCCAUCACAAGGAGGGGAGGGCUACCAUCCCAGCUGCAAACUCUCAUUCAAGGUUUAUGCUGCAGCCAGCAGUGUCCUUGGAGUCUAGUUCAAAGCUGAAGAGAGUGAACCAUGGAACUGGGAGCCAUUGGCGGAGAGGCUGGCCUGAAGGAAGGGAAGUGUUUCAGCCAGAAUGUACUGACGCACAACCAGGAAACCACAAGACUGAGUAACUACCAGUUGCCAUGAAAUAAAUCACAUCAUCAUAUGGCAGAUCCAGCUAAUAGCUGAGACUGGCAGGAUAACUGAACCGUGUACUCAGAGCUAAAUGAUGGAGAAAUUGGACUGGCCAUGGAGCACUUCAAAUUGAUUGCUUAGUAAUGGGAUAUUUUUCCUGGAAAGACAACAGAAUACUUCUGAAUUGUUGGUUCUGUCAUGGGUACAGGCUCCCAUGUACAGGAAAAUAAAGAAAGUGUGAUGAAUUUUUCAUCUGGCCUUCUGCCUACUUUCUUGCUUUCUGCAUGUCUCCAUUUUUAGUCUGUAAGCCCUGCCUAGAUGACCAAUCACUAUUGCCCAUGUGGCAUAAAACCUACAAUUUAACUAUACUUCUUACCAAACUCUCAGCAAGUAUGAGGUAGCCAACAGCCUUUUCAAGAUAAUGACUGAGUCUUAGCUUAGGUUUCAGUCAUUUUAGGAAACAUAAAAAAUUCAAUGGUGGGAGAUCAUACACACUCUGCAAAGAUGUCAGAAGUCAAGUUUUGGGAGAGUCCACACACAAACUGAGCAGUGAUGGUAAAAUAUAUUUUUGAAAUAUUUCUCCUCUGUGACUGUUAUGUGAAGUAGAGCAAACACAUUGUGCUGCAGUGCUCUUUGGGACAUGCCUUUUUUGGGAAGUGCUAACUUUAUACUCUGCUGACACCAAACAUUUGAAUAUAAAACCUUAUUUUUUUCUCUCACUCUGCUCCACUUUUGGCUCAGCUUAUUCUACCAAAACACACUUCAAAAGACUUCUUUAUAGAAAGAAUGUUUCAAAAAUAUAAUAUUUCCAUCUGUUAUUUCAAUAAUACAUGCUCUGGGACUCUCUUUAUGAACCACUUUCCUUUCUUUGCUCCCAUUUAGAUGUAUAAAUAUUUGAUUGUAAAGCUCUAAGGAAUAGUCAGCCAAUCGGGUCACUGAAUUGUGAACAUUCCUAACCCUAUAAUUUUGUCUGUAGCAGGCACCUCCUGCUGUGGAACUAACUGCUAAGGGAUUAUAGCAAUGUAAUCCUCAGACUGUUCCAUCUCAAGGUUACUCUGAAGUGGAGGGAAGGAAGCCGUUUUAAUUUUGAUAAAAUAAACUUUAUUUUGUAACUUUAUUAUUUGUUUUUCUUUUUCCUUUCAACACUUCAUAAUAGAUGUGUCUGGUAAUUUGAAGUUAGCCUCUCUGGUUGAGGUGCCCUAAACCACCUCGUAUUAUUGUA
rnacentral:lncRNA from 1 species